UACGGAGGAUGCGAGCGUUAUCCGGAUUUAUUGGGUUUAAAGGGUGCGUAGGCGGAUUAAUAAGUCAGUGGUGAAAACCUGCAGCUUAACUGUAGAACUGCCAUUGAUACUGUUAGUCUUGAGUACGGUCAAGGUAGGCGGAAUGUGUAAUGUAGCGGUGAAAUGCUUAGAUAUUACACAGAACACCGAUUGCGAAGGCAGCUUACUGGGCCAUUACUGACGCUGAGGCACGAAAGCGUGGGGAGCGAACAGG
rnacentral:rRNA from 1 species